UUAAAGGAAUUGACGGGACCCGCACAAGCGGUGGAUGAUGUGGUUUAAUUCGAUGCAACGCGAAAAACCUUACCUACCCUUGACAUGUACGGAACUUGCCAGAGAUGGCUUGGUGCUCGAAAGAGAGCCGUAACACAGGUGCUGCAUGGCUGUCGUCAGCUCGUGUCGUGAGAUGUUGGGUUAAGUCCCGCAACGAGCGCAACCCUUGUCAUUAGUUGCUACGAAAGGGCACUCUAAUGAGACUGCCGGUGACAAACCGGAGGAAGGUGGGGAUGACGUCAAGUCCUCAUGGCCCUUAUGGGUAGGGCUACACACGUCAUACAAUGGCCGGUACAGAGGGCAGCCAACCCGCGAGGGGGAGCCAAUCCCGUAAAGCCGGUCGUAGUCCGGAUCGCAGUCUGCAACUCGACUGCGUGAAGUCGGAAUCGCUAGUAAUCGCGUAUCAGCAGGUCGCGGUGAAUACGUUCCCGGGUCUU
rnacentral:rRNA from 1 species